GGUCCGAUUGCUUUCUUUUCACUUCGGCCAGCACGUUACGUUCGUCCUUUGCAACUUUACACUGAGCUCUGGUUCAAACCUGUGAAGCACCACUGAAUUGGGCCAUUUGGGGAAAAGUUUUGAAUCGUCUUUUGAUGUACGGUAGCGCCGACCACCAGCCGGCCGUCAGUGAAGUUCUCACUUUUCGGGCAGUCUGCGUUCAAAACAAUAUCAACAACUGUCGAGUCGGUCGGUGUUGAGAGCGAGUGUACGGGAAUCCGACCCCGUUGUUGGGUGGCGAUAAGUUUUCAGUUCGGACUAAGCCGGCAUUCAGUGUGGAUCGUUUUUCCGUGUGCAUUUUCCGGGCAACGUGUUGUAUUUUCGGUGUGUGUAUUCGUCGCCACUUUGAGCGCAGUUUUGUACGCGUCUAAUUUGCGUCGUUCUCUCUGGGCGAUUAAUCGCAGGGAACUCCUGGUUGGUGUCGAUGGUGAACGCUGUUUGUUCAACACGGUGAAUUGUUGUCGUAAAUUUCGAUGCUAACCUCGAAGGCGUGUAUUUUAAGGGGUUUCGGCAGAUAAAAGAGUUUAUUUUUUUCCGAAGCCGUUGCGUGGGAUUGAAGAAAGUGUUUCGAAAGUGGUAUCAAAUAGACGCAGUUGCGGAAAAGUUAAUUUGUGUGUUUGCUAGGGAAGCACCGAAAGAGCAGAUGUUUGGAAUUCCGAAAAGGUUUUCUCUACGACUGUCACAGGUUUGCUGAUGUGUAAAGUGAUCCGCUGAGCGAUUGUAGGGAAAAAUCGAAACAAUCCAGCCGGAAGAUUGACCAGUAGUACAGGAAAAAUCAAUGGAAAUCGUUCCAAGUUGUUUAAAGUGAGUGAACUGAUUUCAUAUUCGGACGUGAAGCAGAAUCGUAUGCUUGUAUGCACAUAUAAAUACAAGAGUUAGUUGGUGUAAAAUCGUUUCGGCAAAAGUAGUAGGUACAGCAGAAGCAGUAAAGUGGAAAAUAAUAGAAUAAAAUCAAGUUUUUCGUAUAAACAAGCUUACCGCUGCGAGGAGAAGGAGGAAUAUAAAAUAAAAUCUACAAAUUGAAUCGUUCUCGUGUAACAGCAUGUGAAAUUGAUUUACGAGAGAAGUGCGAUCGUUGUUCCAAGUGAGUGGAAGAGUUCAGUUCGGGAAAAUUUUACCUCCGUCUAGUCUGUGAGUUUCCUGGGGCAGAGAAGUGAAAAAAAAACAUUGCACUUGGGUACUACUAAGGUGCGUUGGUGAGGUACCGGAGGAAGAUAUUCGUUUUGAGUGUUUAUUGGUGCGAGAAGAUAUUACAAAGCGCCAUCUGAGAGCGCAGUAUUUGAAAGAAAAAAAUAGGUGCGAAAAGGGUCAAAUUGCAGAAUCGUUACGACGUUCAUUAGUGACUGAGCGCAUCGAGGGACAAGCUGCUGGUUCUGAGAGUUUGAAAAGCGUUUGCCAUUUUGAAUUGUUUAAUAAG